UAGAUGUAGCUUAAGAAGUCAAUGUCCAGAAGUUAUGUUGAUGUUCUGUAUUUAUUGGGUGCAGGAAUAUUGUAGGUUAUGUGGUGGAUCGGAUCCGAAAACUUGGACAAAAUGCCAUAGCCGCCGCCUCCAUCAUGACGGCUAGGGUUCUGAUGAGUUGAAUCUGGUGAAGCAUAUCCGCAAGUCAUAUGCCAUCUGUUUUCGCAUAGCCAUUGCUUCUGCAUUUGCUCUACAUAAUCCAUCUGUUAGGGAGGGACGAUACGGGAUCCCAAGAACAGGCCCUUGUUGUGCUGGUACAUGAUAUGGGUCCAAACUAGGAGCUUAUAAGUUAUGCCACUGUUGAUGUGUGUAUUUUAAGUCUACCUUGCUAAAUCGUGUGAGAUCGGGCUGCAAGACCAGGAACAAUGUGCUUCUUGCUGUUCCGGCACUUCUCUAUGCUAUCAAUAACUACUUGAAGUUCAUCAUGCAGCAACUGUAAAGAUGCUGAGCAAUCUAAAGUUUUGCUAAAGAUAAUAAUGAAACGUUGAUUUUCCAUUAUUCAGAUGAUGACAAGGAGUUCGACAAAGAAGCAUUAUGGCAGAGACUGAAGUACUAAGAAAGGAGAGCUCCUGGGAUAAAUGGCGCAAUUCUGUGGUGAGGGCCCAUAUGGAGCAAUGAAACAAAUACGGAACCUGGAUAACCUGGUCAAUCACAUCGGUCUGUACUCGGCAUUUCCGGCACAUCAGAUUGUGUGGGGUGGCUUAUUGCUCUGGCUUAGUGAUUUGCUGGUAACGGAAAUGGCACUUCUGACCAUAGAUUAAGGGAAGAGAGUUCUUAUUGUGUAAGCAGUAGGUAUUCAUUUUGAGUAUGGAUGUAAAUUGUGAAGUAAGUUAGCUACUUUAGUUCCAUUAUGUUUUAGGGGUUGGGAACAAGUAAUGCUAUUAAAGUGCAGAGUAUUGUGCUGAUCUUGAAAAGGGAGAUGAAUAAUUUUGUGGCAACCGGAGCUCGCUUUUAGCAAAAAGAAGAUUGGAGGCCAAAAAGAGGCAAUUGAACUUGGGGACAAAUUCGGUGAAGAUUUUAAAUUUGGAUCCAAAUUUUAAAAUGGGUCCGUAAAAAUGCGUCAAAAUUGGGUGAAGUACCCUUUGAAUGUAAUUUGUCAUAGCCCGUGUUGCAGAUAAAAAACUUUAUGGAUUUUGAUUGAUUAAGUUUGUAAUCCAGUUUAAUUGUUG